AAUUUCCUGCCGUUUGCGGCGGAUCCCGGGCUGCCUUUUGGGUAGGUUUGACGCUGCGUGGAUAGGGUUGUAGGCUAGACCGGUGUCCGCCACCGCGGAUGGCGAGGGAUCUGAUCGGGCCGGCGCUGCCGCCCGGCUUCAAGGCUCGCGGGACAGCAGAGGACGAGGAGCGAGACCCCAGCCCUGUUGCAGGACCAGCUUUACCCCCUAAUUAUAAAAGCAGUAGCUCAGAGUCAUCAGACAGUGAUGAGGACAGUAGUUCAUUGUACGAAGAAGGAAAUCAAGAAUCUGAAGAAGAUGACACUGGUCCAAGUGCAAGAAAACAGAGGAGAACUCAGGAUGAUGACGAUGAUGAUGAAGGGUUUUUUGGACCAGCUCUUCCUCCCGGAUUUAAAAAGCAGGAUGAUUCUCCUCCAAGGCCUAUAAUAGGUCCUGCAUUACCACCUGGUUUUAUUAAAUCUACUCAGAAAAGUGACAAAGGCCGAGAUGAUCCAGGACAACAAGUAUCAUCAUAUUUCAACUAUGAGGAAACAGAUAGCAGUGAAGAUGAGGACAUUGUUGGACCCAUGCCUGCAAAAGGACCAGUUAACUACAGCGUCACGACAGAGUUUGAAAAAAGGGCCCAGAGAAUGAAAGAAAAACUGACCAGAGGAGAUGAUAAUUCAUCCAAACCAAUUACAAGAGAGUCAUGGAUGACUGAGCUUCCUCCAGAAAUGAAAGACUUUGGUCUCGGGCCCAGAACUUUUAAGAGACGAGCCAAUGAGAAAUCUGGGGAUCGAUCGGUCUGGACAGACACCCCAGCUGACAGGGAGAGGAGAGCUAAGGAAACACAAGAAGCAAGGAAGUCAUUCAAUAAGAAGGAUGAAGAACAUAUAUUGUCAGGAAGGGAAAAGAGAUUGGCUGAGCAGGUGUCCUCAUACAAUGAAUCAAAAAGAUCAGAAUCUCUUAUGGACAUUCAUCAUAAGAAAUUAAAGACUAAGGCUGCUGAAGAGAAAAAUAAGCCCCAAGAACGAAUACCAUUUGAUCGUGAUAAGGAUCUCAAAGUUAAUCAGUUUGAUGAAGCUCAGAAAAAAGCCCUGAUAAAGAAAUCUAGAGAACUAAACACCAGAUUUUCGCACGGCAAAGGCAGUAUGUUUUUAUAAGCCUCAAGAAAAGACAGGAGAGAAGAGGGUCUAGAGAAGAACUGAAUCGGUUAACUCCUGGCUACAAAUAGUGAUCGAGCUUCCCAUGAUUUUGACACAGAACUUCUGUGAACCAGCCUCUUGAAUCCCUACCGUGGACUCCGGCACGCAAAUUGCCAGGGAGGACAAACUGGCUCUCCCCCAUCUCCACUCCAGGCCCUGGCUACUGGAGCAGUUCAUCACGGCUGGUGCCAUGCUCUAGGCCGCGGCUGUGACUCACGUCAACCGCCUCCUCUCCCGUGACCCACAGAUGUCACACGAAGGGAGAUGGCCUGCGGGACCGUGCUGCAGAAAUUGCCUGCUGGCAGUUUUUAGGUGCAAGGUACAGAACCAACUCUGGCAGAGUGAAGGGGCAAAGGGACUCAUCAGAAGGCACUGGAGGGCCGGCAGGAUCCCUGGGAGAGCCAGAACCAGGCGCCGAGGCUCUGCAGUGGGGAACAACGCUCACAACAAGGCUUUAGAAACACUGCUGUUGCUAUGGACACUGGACCCCGCAGGUUCCUCCACUGACAACACUGGACACCGUAUGCAGCCAAGGUCCCUGUCAUCACCCAACACCAGAACACCUGCUUCUUCCAAGUCCCAGCUUCCUAAUCAAUGUCAAGGCUGGAAGGCAAGUAGGUGAAUGGUCUUCACCCUUGCAGGGAUAAAGGGAUGAAAAGAACUUGAGUCUCCAUCACCAAGAGCCAUCAGACCAGCCCUCGACUGACGCUAGUAUGAAGUUGUGAAGAUACCGUGGUUCUGACUCUUCCUAUGAGUGCCCAGCACAGCACCUGCUGCUAAGUGGCCACCCUGUGUUUGCUGGAAAAAUGAAACAGAAGGCACAACACUGCACCUUCACUCUCAGCGUGGUUGGAGGACAUUAUAAAUAAAGAUCCCAUGGAGAAGGUUCAUCGUAUCCCCCAGGAAGUCAGCGUAUUGUGAAUUCCAGGCAGCCGAUUUAUGGACUAUGAGUAGGAGAUGCUCUGAAACAGACAUUGUGGCAGCAGACCUGCAGUUGAAGAAUCCUGCUCGUGAUGGAGUGGCAGAAGCACUUAAGUCAAGCACUUAAUUCAAAGUACUUAACUCAAACGUACUACUCCUUUAUUCGUUCGUCAGAGAAUAGUUAGUCGUCUAUUUCCUUGUUUGUGUUCCUAGAGGGCAGGGUUGUGCUUGCCUUGUGAACCAUUGCAUCCCCAGCACUCAGCAUGAUGCUGCGUAACAUAUUACCUGGAAUAUAAUAGCUUAAAAUAAUGCACAUUUAUUAUCUCACA